rnacentral:rRNA from 1 species
CUCCUGGAAACGGGUGGUAAUGCCGGAUGCUCCAGUUGACCGCAUGGUCCUCUGGGAAAGCUUUUGCGGUAUGGGAUGGGGUCGCGUCCUAUCAGCUUGAUGGCGGGGUAACGGCCCACCAUGGCUUCGACGGGUAGCCGGCCUGAGAGGGCGACCGGCCACAUUGGGACUGAGAUACGGCCCAGACUCCUACGGGAGGCAGCAGUGGGGAAUAUUGCACAAUGGGCGCAAGCCUGAUGCAGCGACGCCGCGUGCGGGAUGACGGCCUUCGGGUUGUAAACCGCUUUUGACUGGGAGCAAGCCCUUCGGGGUGAGUGUACCUUUCGAAUAAGCACCGGCUAACUACGUGCCAGCAGCCGCGGUAAUACGUAGGGUGCAAGCGUUAUCCGGAAUUAUUGGGCGUAAAGGGCUCGUAGGCGGUUCGUCGCGUCCGGUGUGAAAGUCCAUCGCUUAACGGUGGAUCCGCGCCGGGUACGGGCGGGCUUGAGUGCGGUAGGGGAGACUGGAAUUCCCGGUGUAACGGUGGAAUGUGUAGAUAUCGGAAAAAAAACA